AUUACACAGUGGUCUUCGACAAAGCUUGGAACAGAUACUUGGUAUUAUGCCAAACGGUGCUUCUUGUCUUUACUGGAGAAUAUGGCAAAACACAUGAUUAUGCUGAGGGACACCGUUAUACAAGAAUGUAUCCAGUUCUUAGAACAUUGUGAAAUUUAUGGCAAGAAUGUGUUAGCAGUAAUCGAGCAGCCCUUGGAAGAACAGAAACUGCACUCAGGGAAAAAUACAGUUACAUAUCAGGCACGGCUGUUAAAGUCAUUGAUUUAUGAGAUCAUUGGCUGGAAUAACUAGCAAAAUAUUUAUCUUCCUUGAAGCAAGGUUGAGCUUACUAAGAAUUGUUUUACAUUUCAACUUGUUCAAAGGAAUAUAUCAUUUUGGAAAAUAUUUGACCUAAACCUUUUGCAAUGCAAUAUUUACAUAUUGGCUCUAUAAAUUCUCUAAUUCAUUUUAUAAACUGCAACUUCGACAGGUAUGUUCUUUAUGUAUCUUGUUAGUGACAUAAGAAAUGACUGUUCCUCAUGGGUAGGAAAUAUUACUCCAGACCUUAUUUGUGACUUAAUCAUUUGUUAGUCCAUGUUCAACAGAGACUGUGUUUUAAUAUUGCACGAAAAUUUUGUCAAGCUGUUUAAAAACUUACUUGUCAGAGUUGUGUUUGUUUUUACUGUGACGUAUUUGUAAGUAAAAGAUUUUGGAUUAUGAUUUCAUCUACUUUUGUGAGCACAUUUUGUUCUGAAAGACCUGUCAUAUAAAAUUGACAAAGGGUCUGCACUUCACUUUAUAUUUUAUUGAAUAAAGUGGACAAUAAAACAAAAGCAAUUUAUGACACAUCAUUUAAUGUUCUGCAGAGUUAUGUAGUUCUACUGCAGUCGGUAUGAAUUCUGUAAACAGAACAGAAUUGAGGAGUGCACUAGGAUUAAUGAAAUUGACCAGUGGGAAUUGUUGGUUUUCAUUCCGGGGUGCACCGGGCCCACCUGAAGGUCCUCUUCAACUACAGCGAAUUGCUGGCAUUCUUUAUAAAACUCAGUAAGAAGCAGUUAGGUAGAAGACAGGAAAAACAUUGAAAAGUAAUACAUUUUCUGCAAGCAGAGGUAUCAACUACCAGCAGUAUUUUGUAAAUGGAACAGUGGUUUCUCAGUGUCAUCCAGCACGGAGACAGACCCUUCGAUCCAACCAGUCCAUGCCAACCAUAAUACCAAACUAAACUAGUUCCACCUGCCUGUGCUUGUCCUAUAUCUCUCCAAAUCUUUCCUUUUCAUGUACUUAUCCAAGUGUCUUUUAAAUGUAACUGUACCCGCAUCAACCACUUCCUCUGGAUUUAAUUCCACACACAGACCACUUUGUGUAAAACAAAAAGUUGCCCCUCAGUCCUUUUUAAAUCUUUCUCCAUUCAUCUUAAAAAUAUGUCCCCUAGUCUUGAAAUCCCCCACCAUAGGGAAAACUAUUGUGACAAUUGUGAACUGGAAACACUCCCUUGGAUUAUACAUAUGUUAGAACAAUCUGUAGGAUGGAACUUUUCCUGCAACUUUUACUUUAUAACAUUUUACCAUAAGUUAACAUCAUAUUUCGCUCCUUUACUGUAAAGUCUAAAGACGAUGCUGUUUAUUUUUAACUUUCCAUCCUGCCAGCAUAUCACUUACACCACUGCAUUUCUAAUGGGAAAGAUGAAUUGCCUUUCCUUGGGGUAAAUACCAUCAUAAACCAAAAUAGAGUGCCUAUCCACAUCACCCCUCGUUGCUGUUUUAAUCUUUUCUGGAAACUAUUCUAUAUUCCAGAUAAGAUCAGAAACUCCUGAUUCAUGAGCAGGGGUUAAUUCUUAAAGAAAUGGAUAAUUGGUAUUUCUUGCAAGUUAUCCUGAUCAGUGCAAGAUGAAGAACUUUGAGACAAUGUCUUUUUUUUCAGCAAGUCCUGCACUACCAAAUGACUAUCUGUAAUUUGAAUGGAUAUCUUUCUAGAAUUCUAACGUGCUAGCUUGUAUCUCAAUACGUUGUGUGUCUAGGUAGAUGACGAUAAACAUAUUUGUAUGAAUAACUACACUCAUUCUUAGAUUGAAAAACAGAACUAGGUGUAAUGUACUAUAAAUGACGCAAUAAAGCCUUGUUGCUAAAUUGCUGGUGUUCUUGCAAAGUUCUGCUUGUUCCAUAGAAACGAAGGUAACCACCCAGGGCUCCAACAGCAACACUGGUCGUGUGAUCCGAACAGCCACCUGAAAUAAAAACACUUCCAUGAACAUCUUGACCAGAGUAUUUUCCAGUGAAUGUAAAUUCCCAUUGUAUGCUUUGAUGUCGUGUUGAAGAAGAAACAAAACUGCAAACAUUUAGUGAACUUAGAUGCAUUCUGUAGUUCUUAAUCUUUCAUCCCAUUGAUGUUUCAUUUCUAAAGUUGCAUGCUGUCUUUACCAUUGCAUGAUUUUCCAACAUUAAUGAAAUCUGGUAAUUUCCUAGAUGUAAGUCUUAAACGUAUGCAAGAAGUGAGCACAGAGGCUCCUGACAUUAUCAGAACCCAAGGUCACAGUCUGAGAAUAAAGGGUCAGCCAAUUAGAAGUGAAAUGAGAAAGUUUUUUCAACAGGGCAGAUGUGAAUCUUUCAUAUUUUCUACCCCAGUAGAGCUAUGAUUGCUCUUAUUGUGCAUAUUUAAUACUGAGCUUCAUCUCAGAGAAGUUACAUCACAGAUGGAGGCCAU